GGCAACGUCAGCCUCAUGGAGGUCACCAAGGAGGAGGCUCAGCUGCAGGCUGAAACAGAGGCCGCAGCCUUCUGCACCCCGAGUUACUUCACACUCAACUCACAGGUUCCAACAGGCCGGGGCAGGGGCUAUGGGCCGGGUGAGAGUGAAGGGCUGCCCUGACGCAGUCACCAUGUCUAUCUAGACAGCAUAUACCAUCCCCAUCAUGGCCUUCGCCUUCGUCUGCCAUCCCGAGGUGCUGCCCAUCUAUACGGAGCUCAAGGAGUAGGUGUCUAUGGUUGCAAGGGGGGUGGCUGCCUUAAACUGGUUUGGGGAGAAGGAACGUGGUCCUGAUAGGGUGGGGGCAGGGCGGGGUGGGGAGUGACAGGAGCCAAGUCACUUUAUCAAAGAUCUCCAUGGCUUCCAUGAGGGGCGACUGGGGGCAAGGAGGAGAUGUCCUCAGCUGCCAAAUGGUGAGGGUGUGGUGCCAGAGAGGCCCCAGGGCAUACGGGGAUCUCCGGUGUGGCCCAGCUUGGCACCCAUCCCCUCCCCUGCUUCCCCAAAGCCCCUCCAAGAGGAAGAUGCAGCACAUCUCCAACCUGUCCAUCGCCGUCAUGUAUGUCAUGUACUUCCUGGCUGCCCUCUUCGGCUACCUCACCUUCUACGGUAUGGCUGGACCGUGGGGGCAGAGGCAGAGGCCAGGCUGGGGGGCAAGGGGCUGGCCAGUGGCCAUGGCACCCUGCAUACUGGAGGUGCUAACUAGGUGCGUGAUGCCUAACUGUGCCCUACAGCUGUGGAGGUGAGUCUGUUGCCACUUCCCACAGUGUCAGGGUCAACCCAGGCUCAGAGCCCAUCCCCCUCCCUGGGCCACCUGCUGACCAUCCUCCCUGCCUGCCGCAGACGGGGUGGAGUCGGAGCUACUGCACACCUACAGCAAGGUGGACCCAUUUGACGUGCUGAUCCUCUGUGUGCGUGU
rnacentral:lncRNA from 1 species